UUCACGAGACAAACUACACAGGUUCAGUGAGUUAUAAAACGACUAUAAACUCCCAUAUAGUAAGUAAUUUGUCCACCAAUUCAUAAAACAUUGCACUUAUUCACCUCCCAAUUUGCCACAAUAAAACACCCCACUUUGUCCCACAUAGACCUUCUAAUUCGACUAAAAUAUUUUGUAUUAUUUUAUUUCAAUUCGACCUUCAAAUUCGUAAUAAACGAUUGUUCUAUUUAAUAUACAUGCAUUGACGCUGUGUAUUACUUCAUGGAAUAAAUAUACACUGCGUAAAUAUAGAAAUGUUGUAGUUUGUUACAAGAGCACAGGGAAAGGGAGAUUACGAGCUACUUACUCUAAUGUGGGAGACUAUAUAAUACCAAAGCGGACAUUUCAAAUUUUACUGGUGAGAAUAAAAGACGAGAUCAAAAAGACAGUGAUAGAUGUUGCUUUUCAACAACUGUCUGCAAACAACUGUUACUGAAGUGUUCAAAAUGGAGGAUUAUAAUUGAAAGAUAACAAGGGACCUAUUUGCACUGACGUUUCUCUGCUUUGGGGAUUGUUUCAAUAUUUUCAUUGAUUCAUGAAGUGAAAUAUGAAGUUUAUGUCUUCAACUGGAGCAAAUGGAUUCAGAUAUAUCACCUUUCGAGGUGAAACUUUUUACCAACCUGAAGGAUGUAGCAUGGAAAAGAAAGUUCACAACAGUAAAAUGGACAACACUUAACAGGAACAGGACAAGAUGGCGGCUGCAUAGUGUGGAAAUCAGUCACAAAAACAUCAUUCAAUUGGAUAAAUAAAGAGUCCUAGUCAAGUCAAAGUUAAGACCUCAGAAAGGUAGUGAUCGUACCUUCGCCACACGCCACACGCUUUGCAGUUAGAAUUCAGAGCCACGGGUCUUUCGGAUGAGACCUUAAACACCA